AUGAACGCUGGCGGCGUGCYUAACACAUGCAAGUCGAACGAAGCGCUUGUAUUUGAUUCUUCGGAUGAAGAUACUUGUGACUGAGUGGCGGACGGGUGAGUAACGCGUGGGUAACCUGCCUCAUACAGGGGGAUAACAGUUAGAAAUGGCUGCUAAUACCGCAUAAGCACACAGUGUUGCAUGACACAGUGUGAAAAACUCCGGUGGUAUGAGAUGGACCCGCGUCUGAUUAGCUAGUUGGUGGGGUAACGGCCUACCAAGGCGACGAUCAGUAGCCGACCUGAGAGGGUGACCGGCCACAUUGGGACUGAGACACGGCCCAAACUCCUACGGGAGGCAGCAGUGGGGAAUAUUGCACAAUGGGGGAAACCCUGAUGCAGCGACGCCGCGUGAGCGAAGAAGUAUUUCGGUAUGUAAAG
rnacentral:rRNA from 1 species